rnacentral:rRNA from 1 species
GACGAACGCUGGCGGCGUGCUUAACACAUGCAAGUCGAACGGAAAGGCCCUGCUUUUGUGGGGUGCUCGAGUGGCGAACGGGUGAGUAACACGUGAGUAACCUGCCCUUGACUUUGGGAUAACUUCAGGAAACUGGGGCUAAUACCGGAUAGGAGCUCCUGCUGCAUGGUGGGGGUUGGAAAGUUUCGGCGGUUGGGGUUGGACUGGCGGCUUAUCAGCUUGUCGGUGGGGUAGUGGCUUACCAAGGCUUUGACGGGUAGCCGGCCUGAGAGGGUGACCGGAGACAUGGGGAAUGAGAUACGGCGAAGAAGCAUACGGGAGGCAGCAGGGGGGAGUAGUGCACAAAGGGAGGAAGCCUGAGGCGGAAACGCCGCGUGCGGGAUGACGGGCUUCGGGUGGUAAACCGCUUUCGACGGGGACGAAGCGUGAGUGACGGUAAUGGGUAAAGAAGCACCGGCUAACUACGUG